UUAGCUCAGUUGGUAGAGCAUCUGACUUUUAAUCAGAGGGUCGAAGGUUCGAAUCCUUCA
rnacentral:tRNA from 1 species